AAUUCGGGAAACAUUCUCGGCCUCAAUAGGCAAGGCAAGAAAGUUACCGUGAUUCAGAGUAUUUUACAACAAGGAGGCCGAUGUCAUGAUGACAGGCAAAGUAAAAUGGUUUAAUGCAGAAAAAGGGUUUGGAUUUAUCGAGCGUGAAGAUGGCGAUGAUGUUUUCGUUCACUUCUCCGCAAUCCAGGCAGAAGGAUUCAAGACGCUGGAUGAAGGUCAGGACGUUGAAUUCGAAAUCGUCGAAGGAAACCGUGGCCCUCAGGCAGCAAACGUUGUAAAGCUGUAAUGUAAUAACCAUAAUUGACAAGCCUGCUGUUUUACACAGCAGGCUUUUUUU
rnacentral:other from 1 species